CAGGUCGUGGCUGGCUUCAAUUAUAAGCUCGAAGUAGAACAGGCUGAGGUGAGCUGUGGUUUUCAGCAUCCGCAAUUGCAUGCAACGUGGAAUCAUCCUAAAAAUCUCGUCUGUUUCACAGGAAAGGUUGUCGCUGUCUGCAACAUUGAAUUCUUUCAUUCACUUAGAGCUCCGACGCCAAAUAUUACAUCAUUUGAGUGCAAGGAGCCAUCGUUCGAAAAAUAAAUACAUGCAGGUUAACUGACACAGCAGAAUACGGUUUUGAGCGGCAACAGGCACCCUUUGUCAGUGUUGUCUUGUUUCACUAAAAUAAACUGAAACAAUGCUUCGCUUGAAA